CGCAUCGCGGUCCGGGAGAUUGUCCUCCGCACCCUCGAAUACCUGGACACGGCUAUGUGGCUUCAGCAGCAUCUCCCUGGGGAGGGAAAGAUGGACAAGAGCCUAGAAGAUCCCAGCCUUGCCACUGGGUAUGAGCACAGGACAGGGGGACGCUCAAUGCUAAGGCUGCCAGAGAAAAUACAGGACUUCCGGUUAAAUUUGAAUUUCAAAUAAACAAGUAAUUUUUAAAGUAUAA